UACAGAGGGUGCAAGCGUUAAUCGGAUUUACUGGGCGUAAAGCGAGUGUAGGUGGUUUGCUAAGUCAGGUGUGAAAUCCCAGGGCUCAACCCUGGAACUGCAUUUGAUACUGGCAGGCUCGAGUGUGGUAGAGGAUAGUGGAAUUCCCGGUGUAGCGGUGAAAUGCGUAGAUAUCGGGAGGAACAUCAGUGGCGAAGGCGGCUAUCUGGACUAACACUGACACUGAGACUCGAAAGCGUGGGGAGCAAACAGG
rnacentral:rRNA from 1 species